rnacentral:lncRNA from 1 species
CCUAGCUCUGUGCUGCAAGUCUCUCAGGUAACAGGUGGCAGCUUCCCCUGUUGGAUUCUAGGUUUAAAAAAGAAUGACCUCAUGUGGGUGGAGCUCUGGGACUUCGUAGAGGUGGUGGCAGUCACAGCCAGGUAACCCUGGAGUGAAGCGGUUUAGUUAGAAGGGAGCAGAUAAACUCGUCACUCUAGUAGCUUUAACCCUCACCCUGAGGCACCUUAGCAAUCAGCCAUUGCCUGCAAGCCUCCAAAGCUUGUCUUUGCCUAAUAUGGAGCCCAAAGAAGCCACUGGGAAAGAAAACAUGGUCACCAAGAAAAAGAAUCUGGCCUUCUUGAGGUCUAGACUCUAUAUGCUGGAGAGAAGGAAGACUGACACUGUGGUUGAGAGCAGUGUUUCUGGGGACCACUCUGGCACCUUGAGGAGGAGCCAAUCUGACAGGACCGAAUACAACCAGAAAUUACAAGUGAAUCAAUUUAGUGAAUCCAAAUGACUUUGUCCAGGUCACAGAGGAAGUGGGUGUCAUUGCCAGAACUGAACUCUAUGCCUCCCUGUCCAGCAAAAUUCCACUACAUAGAACAUGAUGUACCAUGAUCACGACAGUUCCAGUCAGGGAGUGAAGGGAGAGAGCCCAGGCUUCGGAGCUAAGCACAUAAAGUUUGAAUCCAGCUCUUCUGCAUAUUCUAUGAAUCACUGAAUAUAUUUACAUACAUUCACUGUAUUCAGUUUCAUCUCUAAAAUUAGCAUAAUAUCCCAUUUUUAGAGUUGUGAGAAAGAUAAUAAAUAAUGCAUAUUUUAAAAACUGGUAAAUAAAAAGUUCUUGAAAGUGGUUGCUCUUAUUAUAGGCUUAUCACAAUACAUUAUAAUCAAAUAUAAUUGCAGUAAUAGUGUAUAAUGCUUUAAUAUCAAAAAUAAUUUGGGGGAACAUACACGUUUAUAAACAAAAUGCAGUAUGUAUUAGUCUGUUCUCAUGCUGCUGAUAAAGACAUACCUGAGACUGGGUAAUUUAUAAAGGAAAGAGAUUUAAUUGACUCAGAGUUCCACAGGGCUGGGGAGGCCUCAGGAAACUCACAAUCAUGGCAGAAGAGGAAGCAAACACAUCCUUCUCAUGGCAACAUGAGAAGGGGAACUAUGAGUGAAGAGUGGGGAAAAGGCCCUUGUAAAACUGUCAAAUCUUGUGAGAAUUCACUGUCCAAAAACAGCAGCCUAGGGGUAACCAUCCUUGUAACCAUCCUUAUGAUUCAAUUACCUCCCACCAGGUCCCUCCCAUGACACGUAGGGAUUAUGGGAUCUACAAUUCAAGAUGAGAUUUGGGUGGGGACACAGCCAAUCCAUAUCAUGGUAUAUAUACACAAUGGAGCAUCAUCAGCCUUAAAAGGAAAGGAAAUUCUGAUAACAUGAUAUAACAUCAAUGAACCUUGAGGAAACAUGAUACAACACAGAUGAACCUUGAUUACAUUCCGCUAACUGAAAUAAGCCAGACACAAAAGGACAAAUACUGUAUGACGCUACUUAUAUGAAGUACAUACUAGUCAUAUUCAUAGAGACAAAAAGCAGAAUGAUGGUUGCCAGGGGCUGGAGGGAGGAAGAAAUGCAUAAGUAUUGUUUAAUAGGUAUAAAAUUUGCUUAGAAAGAUGAAAACAUUCUGGAGACGUUUGGUGGUAAUGGUUGUCCAACAAUGUGAAUGCAUUUAAUGCCGCUGAACUGCACACUUAAAAAUAGUUACCAUUAUACAUUUUAUGUCAUGUAUAUUUUACUACAAUGAAAAAGUUGGAGAAAAAAGAAUAUAUCCAUCUACG